AUUGAACGCUGGCGGCAGGCUUAACACAUGCAAGUCGAGCGAGCGGCGGACGGGUGAGUAAUGUCUGGGAAACUGCCUGAUGGAGGGGGAUAACUACUGGAAACGGUAGCUAAUACCGCAUACCAUCAGAUGUGCCCAGAUGGGAUUAGCUAGUAGGGGGGGUAAUGGCUCACCUAGGCGACGAUCCCUAGCUGGUCUGAGAGGAUGACCGGCCAAACUGGAACUGGGCAACGGUCCAGCCUCCUACGGGAGGCAGCAGUGGGGAAUAUUGCACAAUGGGGGAAAGCCUGAUGCAGCCAUGCCGCGGGUAUGAAGAAGGCCUUCGGGUUGUAAAGUACUUUCAGCGGGGAGGCGUUACUCGCAGAAGAAGCACCGGCUAACUCCGUGCCAGCAGCCGCGGUAAUAC
rnacentral:rRNA from 1 species